GCGCUCUCAGUCGGGUCCGCAAAGAGAACGCACAAAAAAACAAGGCUGAUGGUAAAUCUAUAAAAAAAAUGGAGGGCUAAGUCGUUCCAUCUUAAGCAUAUUAUCCGAGGAACUUGUUCUGUCCCACAACUUGGAGGGUGGCAAAACAAGAAGAGGCUCAGACUACCCAAAUUUCGCCGUGCCUUAUUAAAUGCAAUCGCCCUGGUGGCUCCCUCGGAGCCUCCCG